rnacentral:lncRNA from 1 species
CCAAUUCCAAAUACAAAGCAAUAGCUACCUCUGCCAUCAAAGCUGCCCCAUUAGGACGAAGGCAAGACCAAUAGCUACCUCGUGAUUCAGUAACUUUUAUAAAAUAUGUAAAAUAUUUGAAGGAUAAAUAAUUAAGAAAUACUAAUUUAAAGUCAAUGUUAGUUCACUGAUCGGUAAAGCAAUGUAAAAACUAGGUUCAAAAGCAAGCAAUUGAAAAUGGAAUUGUUCACUAAUAAGGUGUUCACCUAGAUGGUAAAAGAGUAUGUUCCUUUUCCGGUGGUCUUGAGAUUAUUCUACAAGUAAAAUCCUCCAUGCACCUUUUCGACAGAAGGGAGCGUGUCCUUAAAAAUGGAUUACUCGAGGUACGAGAAAGUUGACCGAGCACUACCCGAUCUGUUAUAUUAAAUAAGAAAGUUGAAUUUCUUAGGUUACAUGAAUAAAUUUCAUUUAUAUCAUCUUACACAUGAAAAGGAUAAUGGGUGGAAUGUUCCUUUCAAAGUAUUAGUUUUUUACCGGUAGUUGAAGUACCAAUAGUUAAAUACUAAUAACAUAUUAUACAUAUAUGUGAGUCAAAAUAUCAAAAGAUGACUAAAAAUCUUAUUAGAAAAGAUUUAGAAAGUCUAAAAAGUUUGGCUUAUUACUUCCAACUUUUGGUAAUUUGGGUGCAACAACGUUCACAAACAUAUACCUUUGAAGAAUUUUUCCUGAAGGGUCAAAUCCAGAAUCAAACUUUUAAUUUUAGCUUUAACAUAGACAAAAAGAUUUUUUUUUUAAAUAGCAAUAUUUUAUUCUCUAGUAUUGAUCAACGAUCUUUUGAAAACGAAAAUAGUCAUAAAACAUCUCAAAAAAAAUUAAUACCAAAAAGAGAUGGAUUCCUGAUAUUCCUCAAUUGAUAAAUCAUCUAGAAAAAUCACUUACCACUUCUAAUAUAAAAAGGAAAAAGAAAAGAAAAUACUAUGAAAAUAAUUUACCAAUUAAUUCUCAACCAAAAGGAGAGAAAAAGGACAAGAGCACAAAAAGUUAUGGAUAAGCCACAUCAACCUUUAAUAUUCACAACGCCUUCACUUUAAUAUGUGUAUAUAUAUGUAGAAUUUGUUGGAAUAGAGUAAUAUAACAAGUCAAUAAUAAUUCCCAUUCAUUAAGUUGAGGGGUGAUAAAUCAUUUUUUCUAUAGUCAUAUGAUGGUCCAAACAGAAAGCCCAUGGGCCAAGGAUAUCAAUGGUCCUUACCCAAACAACGGCCCAUUAAGUCAAAUAUCCUAUCUUAUCUAAUUUUAUCAUAAUUAGAAAUUCAGACAGCUAAACAUAACAUUUGUUAAAAUGCAUUGAGCAUCUAGACAAAUGGAAACUAAGACUAAAUGGUCUAUGACUAUGAUUGAGUGGAACUGCAGCUCACAUUGCUUUAUCUUUGUUUGCGUUAUGCUGAUAAGAUCCACAGGUAUUUCUUUCUCUAGUGAAAUUUGCAUGUGAAGGGAAUGAAGGGUUUUACAGAUUCAGCUGUCAAAAAAAGAAAAAAAAUUAGAUUGGAAUGGAGCGUGGGAGCUCAUGGGGAUUCCUUGAUUUCUAAACUGAGUGCCAGGUUUCAACUGGUAUCUCGAUUUGAGCUUGUGAGCAGGAGAGUUUGCCCCUCGAUCAUCUUCUUGGGGCUAUCCGAUAUCCUGUUCUUGGGAUGGAUGAAUUAAAUAGUAGGGGUGUUGCAGACUUAUUUCGACGGAUUCUCGGGGCUUGUUUCAUCUGACUUUC